rnacentral:ncRNA from 1 species
CAGGAAAAACACUGGGUUGCUUCCUGUUAUAACAACUUGAAACAAAUUUAAAGAAUAA